GCUGGUUGGCAUUCUGGGUCUGGUUCAUGCCAACUCUGUUGUUAACUAUACCAGGGUGUCAGCAUAGUUG
ensembl:miRNA